GACGAACGCUGGCGGCGUGCCUAAUACAUGCAAGUCGAGCGAAGUUUUUCUGGUGCUUGCACUAGAAAAACUUAGCGGCGAACGGGUGAGUAACACGUAAAGAACCUGCCUCAUAGACGGGGACAACUAUUGGAAACGAUAGCUAAUACCGGAUAACAGCAUAAAUCGCAUGAUAUAUGUUUAAAAGUUGGUUUCGGCUAACACUAUGAGAUGGCUUUGCGGUGCAUUAGCUAGUUGGUGGGGUAAAGGCCUACCAAGGCGACGAUGCAUAGCCGACCUGAGAGGGUGAUCGGCCACACUGGGACUGAGACACGGCCCAGACUCCUACGGGAGGCAGCAGUAGGGAAUCUUCCGCAAUGGGCGAAAGCCUGACGGAGCAACGCCGCGUGAGUGAAGAAGGAUUUCGGUUCGUAAAGCUCUGUUGUUAGGGAAGAAUGAUUGUGUAGUAACUAUACACAGUAGAGACGGUACCUAACCAGAAAGCCACGGCUAACUACGUGCCAGCAGCCGCGGUAAUACGUAGAUGGCAAGCGUUGUCCGGAAUGAUUGGGCGUGAAGCGCGUGCAGGGGUUUAAUAAGUCUGAUGUGAAACCCCACGGGCUCAACCGUGGAUGGUCAUUGGAAUUGGUAACUUGAUGGCGGGAGAGAAAGUGAAAUCCCUAUUGGAGGGUGAAUGGCGUAGAGAUUGUGAGGAACCCCUUGGUGAUGGCGGUUUUUGGGCUUUAUUGACAUGUAUGUGCGAAACGUGGGGACAACAUGAUAUUUCUCUGCUGUGCCAAGGGUGAUGUCCCCGGUAUUCAGGCUGUCGCUCCCUGGUGAAACAAAAAAGGGGUGACUGUAUCGUGUUUGUUUGGUAUGUGAUGUUUGUUUG
rnacentral:rRNA from 1 species